CUUUGUCAGUCAUUUCAUCACGCUGCCCACUAUUUAUGACAUCUUAUUUCUAAAUGCUUUCUCUUUCUAAAAUCGUUUCAAUUACCUACUUUGAUUUAGUUUAGUGCUUUAUUAUCUUACACCUUUUUAAAUACCAAUAUGGUUGAGCGCCUAACCAGCUAAAAAGAACACGCAGCGUUAAUAGUGAUAUUUAUUGUAAUCACCUUGGAGAAAAUUCGCUGGUACGUUGGUCAGAGAUCCUUUGAAAUUUAUUCCACUCUGAUUGGUGCAUUAAUUUGCGAUACGUACGAACCAGAGGAGAACCGUAUCGACAGUCGAUGGCCAGCCGGCUUCGGUGAAAAAACAACGCCUCUGCGAAAAGAAAAAAAGACAGACGGAUGCAAAACGGAAGAAUCGGUCGGUCGGUAGUCUGUUACCGAAAGGAACGAAAAUACAAGUUGAAGAAAAGGGAGGUAUGCAUUAAGCGAAGAAAAGUUUAUCUUCCCAAUUUUCUUUUAUCGAUCUGUUCCGAUAUUAAAACAAAAUGAAAAUAUGGAUGGAUCGCCUUCUCCUCUUCCUCUUUUCGGAGAAUUCAAUGAUAUCGUGGAAAAAGUAAAAUGUAAAACAAAGUAGCGAAACUUCUGGAUAAUGUAUGUAAUGUACGAAUAUACGUUCAUUAAUAAAUAGAUAACAAAUAUCUUUCUCCUCUUA